rnacentral:rRNA from 1 species
UACGUAGGGUGCAAGCGUUGUCCGGAAUUAUUGGGCGUAAAGAGCUCGUAGGCGGUCUGUCGCGUCUGCUGUGAAAACUCAGGGCUUAACCCUGAGCUUGCAGUGGGUACGGGCAGACUAGAGUGCGGUAGGGGAGACUGGAAUUCCUGGUGUAGCGGUGAAAUGCGCAGAUAUCAGGAGGAACACCAAUGGCGAAGGCAGCUCUCUGGGACGGUACUGACGCUGAGACGCGAAAGCGUGGGGAGCGAACAGG